CCGCGGGAACCCGCGCCGCAGAGCGGGGCCCGCCAGCGCCACCCGCCGGCCGCGGGGCCGUACCGCGCCUCCCCCCGUCUCCCCCUGCUCCGGCUCUCAAUGUUCCACACUGCCCGGCCACAGAGCCGCCGCCGCCGCCGUAUAGCCCCCCGGCCGCCUCCGUCCCCUCCUCGGGCGCCGCGGGCCCGGCCCGGCCCCCCGCCAUCCCGCCCCUCCGACCCAGCAGCGGGACAGGACGCCGGCGAAGUGCCCCACAAUGUCCAGUGAUAGGCAGAGGUCAGAUGAUGAAAGUCCAAGUACCAGCAGUGGUAGUUCAGAUGCCGAUCAGAGGGAUCCACCUGCACCUGAACCUGAAGAGCAAGAAGAGCGAAAACCAUCUGCCACUCAGCAGAAGAAGAACACCAAACUAUCCAGCAAAACUACUGCUAAGCUGUCUACCAGUGCUAAAAGAAUCCAGAAGGAGCUAGCUGAAAUAACCCUUGAUCCUCCUCCUAACUGCAGUGCUGGUCCUAAAGGAGAUAACAUUUAUGAGUGGAGAUCUACUAUACUUGGACCUCCAGGUUCUGUAUAUGAAGGAGGUGUUUUUUUCUUGGAUAUCACAUUUUCAUCUGACUAUCCAUUCAAGCCACCAAAGGUUACUUUCCGUACCAGAAUUUAUCACUGCAACAUCAACAGUCAGGGAGUCAUCUGUCUGGACAUCCUGAAAGACAACUGGAGCCCUGCUUUGACUAUUUCAAAGGUUCUGCUGUCUAUUUGUUCUCUUCUGACAGACUGCAACCCAGCUGACCCUCUGGUUGGAAGCAUAGCCACUCAGUACCUGACCAACAGAGCAGAACAUGACAGGAUAGCCAGACAGUGGACCAAGAGAUAUGCAACAUAAAUGACAAACUACUUGUGCAGUGUGAAGGUGCAGAAGGCAACUUUGCAGUGUGCAACAAAUCUUUAUAGCCUUUACAAUACGGACUUCUGUGUAUAUGUUAUACUGAUUCUACUCUGCUUUUAUCCUUUUGAAGACUGGGAUACUGCCCCCUAAAAAGAUUUGUGGACUCAGCAGCACUUGCCUGCACUGUGAUGGAAGAGCUGCAAGGCUUUGGCUGAGGGGCUUUGCACCAUUGGUGUAGCUCUGAGCUGCAGGGCAGCACCAGUUGCCCCUUUGCCGCUGCUGCCAUGGCUUCCUUGUAGCCCUGCCCAGGUCACCACAGCACUGGAGGGGAAGAAGCUGGAGACUACAGCAGCUUCUACAUUGAUCCUGUGGUCUUCUGCUCAUGAGGUUUCAUCUGUGUGAAUACAGACGGCAAAGGACGGACUCCUGACUCCAAGUUAAGGAAUAAAUUUCAUCUUUUCUGCAUUUUCUUCAAAAAAACUCACCAGUGGAUAUUUAUGUGAAAGAGCAAAGGCCUGUGCAGGCAUCCUGCACUAAAAGAGCUUCGAAGGACAGUGACAGUAGCAUGACUAAAGUAAGAUUUGAUUCAGCCAUAAAGCACUGUAUUCCUGCAGCCCAUGGCAUAGCCAGGGAAAUAGAUGUGUUUGAGAACUUAAUGCUGCUUCAGGUACAGUAUCAGUUCAACCUUUGCAUAGUGGUGCUGCUUGCAUUUGUACUGCAUGAUGAUAACAUCCAAUGCUAAAUCACCAGUCCCUUUUGCUCACUAACCACCCUAGCUGAAAGUAGCUGGAGAGGAUCCUCAGACAACAGUAGAGAUGGUGUAAUAGAGCAGAUGUUUAAAAGUAAAAAGUGAGGCAGCAUCACAGCUGCUAGGACUGGUGCCUAACCUUGCUGGUAUCGAUGACAAUUCAACGUGUUCAACUGCAGCAGAGGUAGAAGAGCAAAUAAUGCAUUUGGAAGAUAACUGCUGGAACAUUUGCAGCAAUAGAGGCUUUUGCUCUUUUCUUCUUAAAGAAAGAAACCUGCUUCAGCUUGUCUUCCCACACCUCUCUGCAUGCAUGUAUCUCUGGAGUGCAGUUAUGGUUGCCUCUGUUGCUGGAUAGAGCAGAAAGCAUCGAGCGUACUAGCAACAAUUUGUGGGGGUCUUUAAAAAUAAAACCUGCCAAGAACAGAUAGAAUAAGAGGCAUAGUGUGAAAAAUACAUGGUUUAUCUGCUCAGGAUGGCUAUGUCUGAGCACACACUUUGCAUCUAUAGGGAUAGAAGAUGUGGUGGGACCACAUGCAUGGAUAACUAAUGCAUGUAGUUGUCUGUUUCAUUGUUGCUAUUGCUUCUUUGCAGGUAAUGUGUGGAAAAUACUUUCUGUUUAUGUGGUGUUUCCAAAAUACCAGGAAGCAUUUUGUAACUUUGUUGUCCAAGAUAAAUAUCUUUUUGAACCAUCCUAAAUUGUUACCCUCCACAACAUCCUUUGACAGUGAAUGGUGCAGUUAAAUUAAAGACCAUGUGAGAAAGCAUUUUGUUUGUUAAGUGAUUAUUUCA